GGAUGUGAGGGCGAUCUGACUGCGACAUCUGUCACCCCAUUGAUAGCCAGGGUUGAUUUGGCUGAUCUGGCUGGCUAGGCGGGUGUCCCCUUCCUCCCUCACCGCUCCAUGUGCGUCCCUCCCUGCCCCCUCAGUCGAAGAGGACGACCUUCCCCGAAUAGAGGAGGACCCGUCUUCCGUCAAGGGUAUACGAGUAGCUGCGCUCCCCUGCUAGAACCUCCAAACAAGCUCUCAAGGUUUUGUCAUUGUUAGUUAUUGGUUUGGUUUGGUUU
rnacentral:sRNA from 14 species